UACGUAGGGGGGCAAGCGUUGUCCGGAAUUAUUGGGCGUAAAGAGCGUGUAGGCGGUCCGGUAAGUCGGCUGUGAAAGUCCAGGGCUCAACCCUGGGAUGCCGGUCGAUACUGCCGGACUAGAGUUCGGAAGAGGCGAGUGGAAUUCCCGGUGUAGCGGUGAAAUGCGCAGAUAUCGGGAGGAACACCUAUGGCGAAGGCAGCUCGCUGGGACGUUACUGACGCUGAGACGCGAAAGCUAGGGGAGCAAACAGG
rnacentral:rRNA from 1 species